UGCGUAGGCGGAUCAAUAAGUCAGUGGUGAAAUCUCUCGGCUCAACCGGGGAACUGCCAUUGAUACUGUUGAUCUUGAGUUCGGUUGAGGUAGGCGGAAUGUGUAAUGUAGCGGUGAAAUGCUUAGAUAUUACACAGAACACCAAUUGCGUAGGCAGCUUACUAGACCGACACUGACGCUGAGGCACGAAAGCGUGGGGAGCGAACAGGAUUAGAUACCCUGGUAGUCC
rnacentral:rRNA from 1 species